AUGGCGGAGGAACCGUCCGCCAAGCGUCAUCAUGCCGGGACGUCGGACAAGAGGAGCAACCUCGUCGACAUUAACGUCCCCGGCGAGAAGCGCGAGUACACCAGAACGCUCAAAGGGGUUGAGCUCCACGGCAAGGAGACGCUGGAGAUCGUCUGCACCAGCGAACCAGACAAGGCCGACGAGAUGAUGAGCAGGCCCAAGCGCCUCAAAGACUUCCUGCGGGAGGAGAAAUUGUACACAUUUGUUGGUUUCAGCAUUGGAGGUGACAAGCGGAUGCUGCAGGAGUCUGGUUUGGAAAUCAACCCCAACAACUUCAUCGACAUGCAGCGCAAGUGGAAAGAUCCAAAGACCAGAAAAUACUACGACUCCUUGGUCGAUGUUGCAGGCGGCGUCAUCCACCCAUUCUACGAAGGCAUGAAGAAGAAGAUGAACAGGGUAGACCACAAACUGUGGGGAACAGCCCGCUGCCAAACAACCUCAUCACGUACGCAGGAAUAG
rnacentral:rRNA from 1 species